UCUACAUGUUUGUCACUGUGGUUGACAAUACCUCUAACUGUAUGGAUUUCUUUUUUCCAUUUUUCAGCAGAACUAAGGGAAAUAGCAAAAUAAAUAGUUUCUCCCGUGCUUUAGGAAUUGUCUGAGACAUUUUGCAGGUGCUGUGAUACACAAUCUCAAAACUACCCUAUGAGUAGUAUUAGAACCAGUUUGAAAAGGACUGAGGCUGAGGUAAACUCAGGAAAUUUGGCUUGACCACCCAGUCAACGGGUCCUUGAGUCAGACUCGAGCUGGGCAUUGCCUGCUUCAAAGAAUGUGCAUAUUUAUUUUUCACCAUACCAUUUUUUUUGUAGUGGUACUGAAAGAUAUUUCAUCCACAGAGAGAGUCUAAAAGAUGCUGUGGGAAGCAGAAAUAGAUCAGAUGAACAAACCCCAGUUUAUUUGGAGUAUUAAAACAGGCUGAGCAUUCAUGUACCCAUUUCUUUAUGUGAUGCUUACGUCCACAAACCACAAUCCCCUUCUAAUAUCUGCAUGUCCUGCUGUUUUCAAAAGAAUAAAAGUAUAGGAUUGUAUUGAUCUUGUCGUGUUUUGGGAUGAUCACAGACUGUCAUUGAGAUCUGUUUAAAUUAAUCAUUUCUCCCAGAUAUCCCACAGCGAUCCCUGCCUCCUGCCCUUACGUAAAAACCAAUAGGAUUUUACAGAAAUGAUGGUAUGUGACUUCUCAUGCCAGGUCAUAAAAGGCUUUGGGGCUUCCUCCUUAUUCUUUUACUUGGAUUACAUGCUUUGCGGGGACGUCACCAGCUAUACAAUGAGGAUCUCAAGUUUCCCUUUUGAGAGGUCCAUAGGUGAAGAACUGCAUCUCCUGCUGGUUGUCGGCCCCUGCUUGCCAGCAACGUGAAUGAGCCACCUGAAUGGGCCCUCCGGCCACAGCCGAGCCUUCGCAUGACCCCACUCCCAGCAGACCCUUCGGCUGUAACCCCUUGAGAGGCUCUGAGCCAGGGCUGCCGAGUCAAGUCACAAAGUGCCAACGAGUGCUCGCUUCAUGCUGCUGGAAAUCAAAACACAACAGUCCUGCCUUUCAAGGAGGGCUUAAUUUUCAGUGGAUUAUGGACACAAAGACAGAUCAUUGCAAUGUCAUGUGGUACCUCGUGUAAUGAAUCCACGACAUGAGAGCACAGAUGCUGUUCCUGGUUCUUAUUUUCAAAUAUUUUUGCUCUUUUUACAGGUCUGCUUAAUAUUUUAGUUUUCUGGCUAUCAGCCACUCAGUCUCAUUUGAAAGGAAUCUAAAAAUUUGUACAUUUCCCAAUCAGGUGCAGAGUUAAUGUGCUGAAGUUUCCUUAGAUUGUGCUUGUUUUUCUCCUGUCCCCUGUGGGUGAGGACAUAUGGAAGACCUCAGCUGAGUUUCAGGGAGACCUGGCUGUGACAUCUGUCACCUUGCUGGGCUGGGGAGAGCCAUGGAGAGCAAAGUUGUAUAACUCUUUAUUGAUGUACAUCAUUUGUACCAACGGCUCAUAGAUUGCUGGAGGGAAAACGCUUAUUCAAAGUAAUUGUGUCCAAUCCUAUCAUUAUAAACAUGAGAAUCUGAGACCUAGGACACUUGAUAGGUUUAUCCAAAAAUCGUACCUAGAAAGCAACUCACAUUUUGGAGGCACAUUCUUUGAAAGUGUGCAAAACAAUGUGGUUUUGUAGAAAGAAAAUAGAUUUUGCAGUUAGACAGACAUGGCUCUGCAUCCCAGCUCUGCUUUCUUUGGAGGAUGUGACCUUGUUGACAGGGCUGUUGCUUGGAUAUAGAUCAUUUAUGUACAAUACUUCACACAUUAUAGACCCACAGUAGAAGUUAGUUCCACCAAUGACCAGAGGGAUAAUGUCUGGAGAAGGACUCUGUAACCUACACAUUGCAAACCAGUAUGAGGCAUGAUAAUCCAUUUUCUUAAUUGAUUAACAGAGUUAUAUCUGGGAGCCUUGUAAAUGCAUGCUGGCAACCCUUCCUUUGAGUGCUGAUUUUAAUCUCCAAGUUGAAAGGGAUUUGUGCUUUCCUACUCUGCAUUUAUAUUUAAAAGAAAAAGUCAAGUUGAGCUAUAGACAUCCUUUCAUACUGUUUCCAGAGACCAGGUCCUAAAACUUUUCUUUCCCUUCAAACAGGGAGUCCAGGCUAUAGCCAAACAUUUUGGAAUAAGAGCUACUUCUCAGGUCAUCUGGACCCUAGGUCAUUCUCCCUGCAAACAGCCUACUAUUGUAUACUGGAGAAAUGAGUUCCUCUUGCCCUUUAAUGUCCUCUACAAAUCAUAAGAAUCAACCUUUGCAUAGGACCUGGUAGUUCAUGAGCGCUUUAAUGGUUAUAUACUCAUUUUGAUCCUCCAAAUAACCUCAUUGAAUAGAUAGGGGAAAGACAAUUAUCUCUCCCAUUUUCCAAAUAAAAGUUAUCAGUAAACAUCUGCAUUAUUAGAGUACUUUAUUGACCAUCAAUGCAUAUUCUUCAGUAUUAUUUGUUACUGUCAGACACAUGAGCCCAAAUAUUUGGAUAAGCUUCCAUGAUCUGAAUCCUACAUCCCUCUUUGCUUCAUCUCCUGC